rnacentral:lncRNA from 1 species
GGGAUGAGCCGGUCAAUAUGGAGAAUCUCAUUUACAGAAAAUUCCAUCAGUUGCUCCAGUGGUUUUAUCACAGUACUGUGUUUGAAAAAAUCUUUAAAUGCAAAAGGAAAGAGCCAUCCAAAUGAAUAGCAACUGUGGAAAGGCUACAGUAACUUUAUCUGAAGAGUCUGUUACCAUCUCACACAGGCACAUGAACUUUUUGAGUCAGACAGAAAUUGCCAUUAAUUUGUGCAAUACUAACUUUGUAAAUAAUAAUUAAGCUGGCAAAUGUACUUACUCUUCAGAGAAAGAAGGUGGUAUGAAGGGGUAAGAAGAUACCAAGCACUGAGGAUAUUAAGGUAGACUGACCUGCAGGGACCAGAGAAUUCAAUUCUGAAAUAAAACUUGGACAUAUCUUAACAGGAAGGGCAGAGCAUGCCAAGACUGGCACAAAGGCAGACCAAGGACCCUCUCAACGCGGCAGCCUUGCCCUUCCUGCUCAGUGACAAAGUGCCUAACAGCAGCUGUCAAGUCCCAGUGAGAGAAAUAAAGCUGGGCUACUGCACAUUCUCACACAACUGGUCAUCUUCUUACCAUGUACUUACAAAACACGUAGAAGGACAAUAUAACUUACAUAUGUAGCACUGGCUAGUUGCACUAAAGUAGCUUUAAUCACCAGCAUAAAAUAAAAAGCUUAUCACUUAAAAUUCUGAACCAGCACUUUCAGG